UUGUAAUUUUAACAAUACUUUAAGUUUUAAAAUUAUCUUUUUAAAUAUUUAUUUAUUCAAUUUAAUUUUCUUUGUAAGAUAAUUACUGCAAAAAAUUUGUGGGAUCAUUAAAGAUUGAUGAUUGUUAAAUCCUUUUUAGGGCACAGGAAAGAAAUGAAAAUAAUAAAAUAAUUUUAAAAACUGUAUAACAAAUGACUAAAUAGUAAAUAGUCAAUAGAGAUAUUAUUUUUUUUUAAAAAUGUGAAUAUUAUACACAAUUUUCUACAUUUAGAGUGAUAUAUUGACAUUUACCCUAGCACGCUUUACCAUCGACUUAUUGAAAUGAAACCUUCAUGCUUUAAUUUAGGAAGUAUACGUGUCCAAUUUUGUGAGAAAAAUAUGCUUUAUUUUUUUUGUUUUUUAUAAGAGAACCUAAAAAUAAAACCUAGCAGUAUACUUGAUAAUUUUCCUCUGCAAGGAAAAUCAAUGUAAACAAAAAUGGGUUAGUAAAAAAAAAUUUUAGCCACCCAAAAACAUCCAUAUCAAUAUUAUGGUUACUUUUAUGAACUCUGGGUAUUGAUACAAAAAGAAUUAUAAUGAAGAUUUGAAGAAAUGUGUUAAAACAAAUUAUUGUACUUUUAAUUUAUCUUUGUUUUAUUUAAUUCGUAGAUUUGCGUAUUUGUGAAGUUCAAGCAGACUGCUUGCAAAUACAAUAAAUCAUUUAAGUAAUUGCAUAUUUGUGAGUUUUAUUAUUUAAGAUAUAUACCAACAUGUUUACUUACUUAACUACUUUCCUAACUUUCUAUUUAACGGCUUUAACUUGAGGAUGUAAAAGACACAACAUAAUAAUAUGUUGACAAAUUGUAAAGAAAAAAUGAAUACUACUUUUUUUUUUAAAAUACCAAAGGCAAAAAAAAGUUGAGAGCCACUGCUGUAUUCUCUUAAUUACAGAGGUGGUGUGUCAAUGGCUCAAUGAGGCAGGUGAUGAGAUCGUCAUUCUUCUAAUUAAUAUCAAAAAAGUUCAUUCGUUUUUAUCUAGCUAUUUACUAUUAAGAGGACCCUACCCAAGCACUUGUCUCCGUAUUACACAUAAAUAGGACAUUUUCAUUCACUAGUUUCAAUAUUAUGCUGUGAGUUUUGAUAUUAGAGUAAAUUGACCUAUUAUCAAACUUUUAGGUAAGAAAAUUAUCUGUGCUACAGUGUGUGAUUUUUUAACAUUUUAAUUUUCAAGCAAGAUAUGGACAUAUAGUUAUGUGAAAUUGUGAAAUAUUACCAGACAUAACUUUGAAAUUCAAAAGGGGUACUUUUUACGGAGGGGAAAAUAAUAAAGAACGUGUAACAGUAAUAUUGUCGGAGCCAAUAAUGUGACAGGAAUCGAAAAAGUAUAAAACUUCUCGUGAUUAGAAAAUCGAAACGACUAAUAGACAUUUCAAGAAAAAAAUAUACGAAAUCGUUACCAGUCACAUAAUAUUAUUGUAUACAGGGACGUCAUUAGGAUUGGAAUCAUGGGGUACCAGGUAUCAUAAUACUUUUAAUUCGAUUGCACGUGGUCUAAUGAACCCUGGGAGCAGUCGGUGAAUAAUAUUAUAAAAUUGGCUUGGUAACGAUACCUUGUUACCGUAAUUGUGGGUGAAUAGAAACAAAAUUUCGAAAUAAGUUUCAUUGACCAAUAACUACGGUCUAAGCAUAACUAUUUUUAAAAAUUGUUGAUGUAUUACAUUGGUUAUGUUAUGAAGAAUCGAAUUCAAUUGAUACAUUUUUACCUCCAUAAUAAUUAUCGAUAAGAAAAUUGAUAAGAGUAAAAAUUAUUUUACCUCCAAAAAAUGUGUAUCAACUUUAUUAUCAUGGUUCUCAUGAACAAAUUGUGAUAACUCCAAAUUUUUUUUCACUUUUCGGCGUUGUUGUGGGGAAUUAAUUAACGUAAGUAUCAAUCCUGUUUAAUGAAUUGCUGAUUUUUUAUAAUUUUUUUAAUCAAAACAUUUUGUUUUCCGGGUGAAUAGAAACAUGCCAAAAGUAUAUAAGCCAGAUCCGCGCGGCAAAUAUGUUUAAAAUGUUGUUUUUCAUAAAAUAAAGGCUAUAAGAAUCCGUUCCUUUUGGAACUCGUUCCUUCAAACACUGGGUUAGGUUAGAUUAUUAUACGGCAUAGUGUAUCUGCAAAUCAAGUCUCACAAGAGAUGGAAUGAAAACCAAUCGAAGAAGAAAAUCCGAUAGACUGAAAUCGAUACCAACAGAAUUUUGCUGGGACUCGCGGAGUGGGAUUUGUCGAGGUGGACUCUGAUGUUUUAACAACGUACUAUCCUACCGACGACGAGAGCUGAUGAAACCCUCAACGAUUGAACGUUCCAAGGAGAGACUAACGAGUCAAGUGGUGAGGAUGAGUCGGAUAGUGAUGGCGAUAAUGUGGAAUCGCCUUUAAUUACACUUGUCCAGGCAUUAGAUCUACAGAAAUUCUUCAAAUAUAUACGAGAACAACCAGAUAUUCCAGACGAGAUGUUUUCUGGGAUUACUAUCCGAGUUGAUUCUCAAUUAUAUAAUUGGUUCUCUAUAAAGGUAACAUACGAAUUGGUUCCGAAUUUCCGAUGAACAUUCAUAACAAUAAUACAACUAUGUUAAAUUAACUUUUCAAAUUAUUAUGAUAUAUUUAACCAACCACAUAAUUUCCUUUUCGUUAUACCUAUACACGUAUUUGUCAACGUUAUUAAUAAUUAAAUAGGUAUAUAGUAAUAUUUUUACUAAAAAAUACCAAUUUAUUAGAUAUAUUAUUAUUACACUAGUUCCCAGACAUCAUAAAACCUAUUAAAAUUUCAUAAGAUUACCGAUUUGUACUUGGGUAGAAAUUCAAAAAGUUGUACCCAAAAUGAUAGAGUAACCUGGGGUAUAAUGGCGCAUGGGGCAAAAUGAACUAUUGUAUAUAAGUAAUUUAAUAAUUGCUAUCUGGUCAAACAUUUUUAUUAUUGUGAUUAUGUUAUCAAAGCCAAUGCGAUAAAAUAUUUUUUUCAGCAGUUGAUGAAGUUUUGGCGGCAAUAUUAGGCAAAGUAUUAAUUGUAUUCAUCUGAUAUACCUAAUAUUUCAAUAUUUGAGUAGUAUAGAAGUAGUAAUUUGUACUAUAUAACGACACGUUAGGUGUUGCUUUUAUAUAUAUUCGUUUAGUACAAGUAGGUGACUAAACGUCAAUACUAGUAAAAUAUUAAUAUGAUAACAACUGAAUAUACUACAACACUGUUUAUGCAGAAAAUCAUAUUGGGGUAAAAUGGCUUAGUGGGUUUUGGGGUAAAAGUGCGCAGUAUUUCUUACAUAAUUAUUGAUUACCUUAUAAACAUCUAAUUUCUCUGGCUUUAAAUUGAAUGUCUAAAAAUUUAAUUAUAUCUAUUUAAUUAUUAAUUU